rnacentral:other from 1 species
UAGUCCCUGGAGUGUUUGAUCGUUGGCGUAGCCCCUCGAGCCGAUUCUUCCAAAAUUGGGAGCUGUUUUGUGGGUAUUGUGUGCAUGUCCGUUUACGGAAAGCCUGAUGUAUUCCAGUAGCUCCCUCCUUGAACCUACGGGUUCAGGGCCGUAGCCGAUACCGGCACUUUGGGGGCCUC